UGCAAGUCGACGCUUCUUUCCUCCCGAGUGCUUGCACUCAAUUGGAAAGAGGAGUGGCGGACGGGUGAGUAACACGUGGGUAACCUACCCAUCAGAGGGGGAUAACACUUGGAAACAGGUGCUAAUACCGCAUAACAGUUUAUGCCGCAUGGCAUAAGAGUGAAAGGCGCUUUCGGGUGUCGCUGAUGGAUGGACCCGCGGUGCAUUAGCUAGUUGGUGAGGUAACGGCUCACCAAGGCCACGAUGCAUAGCCGACCUGAGAGGGUGAUCGGCCACACUGGGACUGAGACACGGCCCAGACUCCUACGGGAGGCAGCAGUAGGGAAUCUUCGGCAAUGGACGAAAGUCUGACCGAGCAACGCCGCGUGAGUGAAGAAGGUUUUCGGAUCGUAAAACUCUGUUGUUAGAGAAGAACAAGGACGUUAGUAACUGAACGUCCCCUGACGGUAUCUAACCAGAAAGCCACGGCUAACUACGUGCCAGCAGCCGCGGUAAUACGUAGGUGGCAAGCGUUGUCCGGAUUUAUUGGGCGUAAAGCGAGCGCAGGCGGUUUCUUAAGUCUGAUGUGAAAGCCCCCGGCUCAACCGGGGAGGGUCAUUGGAAACUGGGAGACUUGAGUACAGAAGAGGAGAGUGGAAUUCCAUGUGUAGCGGUGAAAUGCGUAGAUAUAUGGAGGAACACCAGUGGCGAAGGCGGCUCUCUGGUCUGUAACUGACGCUGAGGCUCGAAAGCGUGGGAGCAAACAGGAUUAGAUACCCUGGUAGUCCACGCCGUAAACGAUGAGUGCUAAGUGUUGGAGGGUUUCCGCCCUUCAGUGCUGCAGCAAACGCAUUAAGCACUCCGCCUGGGGAGUACGACCGCAAGGUUGAAACUCAAGAAA
rnacentral:rRNA from 1 species